rnacentral:lncRNA from 1 species
UCAAAAAAUUUAAAUGAAACAAAAGUUGCUAGAAAUUACACAAAUAUCUAUUCAAAAAAGAUCUAUUCAUUGAAUGUACAUCAACUAAAACUUCUUAUCAUUUUUAGUCUAACAAAUAUCUCUUCAAAACCAUAUUGACAUUCUUCCAUAUGAGUCCGGCUAGAAGAAGUCAUUAGUGUUAGGAUGCCACUGCUUUGAAUCUGUACCAUUUUCUUAUUCUUAUAUUUCUUCUUCCAAGCCAGAGUUACAACAACAACAACAACAACUACCCAGUAUAUUCUCACCAGGUGGGGUCUGGGGAGGGUAA